UAGGGAAUAUUGCACAAUGGGGAAGACCCUGAUGCAGCGACGCCGCGUGAAGGAAGAAGUAUCUCGGUAUGUAAACUUCUAUCAGCAGGGAAGACAAUGACGGUACCUGACUAAGAAGCCCCGGCUAACUACGUGCCAGCAGCCGCGGUAAUACGUAGGGGCAAGCGUUAUCCGGAUUUACUGGGUGUAAAGGGAGCGUAGACGGAUCUGCAAGUCUAGAGUGAAAGCCCGGGGCUCAACCCCGGGAGCUGCUUUGGAAACUGUAGGUCUAGAGUGCCGGAGAGGUAAGCGGAAUUCCUAGUGUAGCGGUGAAAUGCGUAGAUAUUAGGAGGAACACCAGUGGCGAAGGCGGCUUACUGGACGGUAACUGACGUUGAGGCGCGAAAGCGUGGGGGAGCAAAACAGGAUUAGAUACCC
rnacentral:rRNA from 1 species